AUGAGCCUCGAGGGUAUAUUAUCUCCGAAGAAAAUGAGCUUUUCGUUUUUUUAACUUUUGCACGACGACAGAAACUGCUAAAUUGAAUGGUUGAGUUGAAAGACUGUCGAAUGUGCAGUUAGUCAUCUGGGAGGAGCCGACUCGCCCUGCGUAGCGAAGGGAUCUGUCAGCGCGGCGGAUCGUCAAUUCUCAGACUCACUUUGGGAAUCGGACUAUGUUAUGGUGUUUUCAGAGGAUGCGUGUGCCGGUUCACACUGCAGAAGAAAAGGGGUCAGGGAAGGCUUGACAACCCUGACUCCAUCUUGCAUCGGCCACCAUUUUGUGGAGUUCUCUGAAGAGCAGCCCCUCUUGGAAUCAUGAUAAACAUCCUGAGGUUUGCACACCUGGCAAGUUCCCCCCGUCUCACAGAACUGAGCAAAAGAGGUCAGCCCAUCACUCGGCAACCCAUACCAAUUGAAAUUUCUCCCUCGCUGGGGCUCGCUCCUGAGGUUUUUCCUAAACAGUUUGGAGCAGCCGAGGAAAAGAUGUGAAGCAACCUAGGCGCCUCCUGCGGACCUCCGGACGUGGCGAAGUGAGCACCGCACCCCGUGUUGCUUCUCUUAGGACGGCUCCUGUCAUGGGGGGAGGGGUGACAGGCAUGGUCCUCUCAUAUCCCCGAACUCCCACCUCGGUAGAGCUCAGGAGACUUUUCUUUCUUUCCUUUUUUUCUUUUUUUUCUUUAAGAUUUUAUUUUUAAAAAAUCUACACACCCAAGGUGAGGCUUGAACUCAGGACCCUGAGAUCGAGUCUCAUGCUCCAUGGGCUGAGACAGUCAGUCACCCUGAGACUUUUUUGGGGGUAACAGAGUUCCUCACUGUUAGCUGUUCAGGGGAGGGUUCCUCCCAUACCGAAUGGGUACCAGUCUCUCAGAAAGAGAUUUCAAUGAUCAGCCUGCUGAUUGUACAGAUAAAAACUAUGGCCCAGAGGCACCAGGGUGGCUAACCAUCUGAUUUCGGCUCAGGUCCUGAUCUCAUGGUUGUGAGAUGGAACCUUGCCUCAGGCUCCUCGCCCAGUGGGAGUCUGCUUCUCUCCCUCUCCCUUUGCCCUCCCAUGAUCACGCUUGCUGGCUCUCUAAACAGAUAAAUACAAUCUUAAAAGAACAAAAAAACUAUGGCCCAGGGGGCUGUAGGUUUCCUCAACCUGGGUUCAAAUUACUAAAUAUUUAAAACUUCACUGGCCUCAUUGGGGCACCUUUGAUAUCCCUAAAUUGGUGUAUUUAAGAGCACAAUUGGAAAGGUGAAGCUAUCAUACUUCACAAAAUCAAUGGAAGCCUAUUUCAGUUGGUACUUAGAAGCCCCCAAAAGAACUUACUUAGUCAUAGCCUCUGUAAAAAAAAAACAAAACUCAAAAGUCAAAGAUGAAAACAA